CCUACGGGAGGCAGCAGUAGGGAAUAUUGGACAAUGGGCGAAAGCCUGAUCCAGCCAUGCCGCGUGAUAGAUGAAGGCCCUCUGGGUUGUAAAUAUCUUUUAUCUGGGAAGAAACAAUCUUAUUCUUAAGAUCUUGACGGUACCAGAGGAAUAAGCACCGGCUAACUCCGUGCCAGCAGCCGCGGUAAUACGGAGGGUGCAGGCGUUAUCCGGAUUCACUGGUUUGAACGGGUGCGUAUAAGGGCGGGGUGAAAGCUUCGAGCUUAAGUAGGAAACUGCCAUUGAUACUGCCAGUCUUGAGUGUCGUAGAGGUAAGCGGAAUGUUGCAUGUAGCGGUGAAAUGCUUAGAUAUGUUACAGAACACCAAUUGCGAAGGCAGCUUACUAUGCGAUGAUUGACGCUGAGGCACGAAAGCGUGGGGAGCAAACAGGAUUAGAUACCCUUGUAGUC
rnacentral:rRNA from 1 species